CUUGUCCCUCAAAAAUAACAUUUUGUGCCUUCAACUUUCUUAUCUCGUUGUUGGCAGCAUUCUGAGUCUCAAUCUAUUGAGAGAUAGUGGAAUUUUUACCAACCCCCUCCUUUCAUAUCAAUUCACACACACUCUUUUAAGGUGGUUUUGGAAAAUGUCUGCUUGUGACUUCCCAUUGCUAUUUUUUCUAAAGGGACUUUGAAGAAAUUAAACACCUUGGUGAGCAAGAAUCCGUAUGGCAAACCAUGAUUCCCAUCCUGUUCGCUCAUAAGACCAGACAUAUUGAUUGUGGUGUG
rnacentral:lncRNA from 1 species